GAGAGAGGCCUUAGCGCAAUAAAAACUGCUAAUUUUUACCCCCUUGGUUAAACCCCAAGGCUCACUCG
rnacentral:tRNA from 1 species